rnacentral:rRNA from 1 species
UACGUAGGGUGCAAGCGUUAAUCGGAAUUACUGGGCGUAAAGCGUGCGCAGGCGGCUUUGCAAGACAGAUGUGAAAUCCCCGGGCUCAACCUGGGAACUGCACUUGUGACUGCAUGGCUAGAGUACGGUAGAGGGGGAUGGAAUUCCGCGUGUAGCAGUGAAAUGCGUAGAUAUGCGGAGGAACACCGAUGGCGAAGGCAAUCCCCUGGACCUGUACUGACGCUCAUGCACGAAAGCGUGGGGAGCAAACAGG